rnacentral:misc_RNA from 1 species
UAUAAUCUCACAACUGCGAUCUGGAGAGAAUAACACAUACACAGACCAUCCCUCUACCGUUGUGGGGUAGAUAAGUUGUUUCCAGUAGACCCUGUGUACAAUGACACAUUACCAAAAUAGGCACAAACCAUAUCAUCAAAUUUGUGAAUGUCUUGUCUUUCACUCAUCAAAAACUCAACAAUUUUGAGAUUGGGAACCAAUAAUAUGAACACCAAAAGAAUAGCUAACAUUCAAUCCAGCUUGAAGUCUUCAAGCCAUAUAAGAACUUCAUUCCUCAUUAUAAAUUUCCACGUGCGACCAGGAUCAUUGUAGCGAGCAAGCAUACAACCAGAUCGAGGCUUGAGACCGUCUCUUAUAAGACUAGAUCGGAGUUGUUUCUCCUUUUCUCGAACAACAUCAUCUGUUGGUUUGCCACUAAACUUUAUUGCAGCAGCGAUGCCUCCUUCCG